rnacentral:rRNA from 1 species
AACGAACGCUGGCGGCAUGCCUAACACAUGCAAGUCGAACGAGACCUUCGGGUCUAGUGGCGCACGGGUGCGUAACGCGUGGGAACCUGCCCUUAGGUUCGGAAUAACUCCCCGAAAGGGGUGCUAAUACCGGAUAAUGUCUUCGGACCAAAGAUCUAUCGCCUUUGGAUGGGCCCGCGUUGGAUUAGCUAGUUGGUAGGGUAAAAGCCUACCAAGGCGACGAUCCAUAGCUGGUCUGAGAGGAUGAUCAGCCACACUGGGACUGAGACACGGCCCAGACUCCUACGGGAAGCAGCAGUGGGGAAUACUGGACAAUGGGCGAAAGCCUGAUCCAGCAAUGCCGCGUGAGUGAUGAAGGCCUUAGGGUUGUAAAGCUCUUUUACCCGGGAUGAUAAUGACAGUACCGGGAGAAUAAGCUCCGGCUAACUCCGUG